UUUCCGUAGGUGAGCCUGCGGAAGGAUCAUUAUCGUACAAAAUGUGAGGGGCAUGCGAGGGCUGUCGCUGACCCAAGAGUCGUGCACGCCCGAGUGUGUCCUCUUGCAUAAUAAUCCAUCUCACCCUUUGUGCAUCACCGCGUGGGCACCCUUCGGGAUCAUCUCGGAGGGGGGCUCGCGUUUUCACACAAACCCCCCUUUUAAAAGUGUAGAAUGACCACAUUUAUGCAAUCAAUACAACUUUCAACAACGGAUCUCUUGGCUCUC
rnacentral:misc_RNA from 1 species